CCGGCCUGAGAGGGUGUCCGGCCACACUGGGACUGAGAUACGGCCCAGACUCCUACGGGAGGCAGCAGUGGGGAAUAUUGCACAAUGGGCGCAAGCCUGAUGCAGCGACGCCGCGUGAGGGAUGACGGCCUUCGGGUUGUAAACCUCUUUCAGCAGGGACGAAGCGCAAGUGACGGUACCUGCAGAAGAAGCACCGGCCAACUACGUGCCAGCAGCCGCGGUAAUACGUAGGGUGCGAGCGUUGUCCGGAAUUACUGGGCGUAAAGAGCUCGUAGGUGGUUUGUCGCGUUGUUCGUGAAAAC
rnacentral:rRNA from 1 species